rnacentral:rRNA from 1 species
AUUGAACGCUGGCGGCAGGCCUAACACAUGCAAGUCGAACGGUAGCACAGAGAGCUUGCUCUCGGGUGACGAGUGGCGGACGGGUGAGUAACGUCUGGGAAACUGCCCGAUGGAGGGGGAUAACUACUGGAAACGGUAGCUAAUACCGCAUAACGUCGCAAGACCAAAGUGGGGGACCUUCGGGCCUCACACCAUCGGAUGUGCCCAGAUGGGAUUAGCUAGUAGGUGGGGUAAUGGCUCACCUAGGCGACGAUCCCUAGCUGGCCUGAGAGGAUGACCAGGCACAGUAGAACUGAGACACGGUCCAGACUCCUACGGGAGGCAGCAGUGGGGAAUAUGGCACAAUGGGCGCAAGCCUGAUGCAGCCAUGCCGCGUGUAUGAAGAAGGCCUUCGGGUUGUAAAGUACUUUCAGCGGGGAGGAAGGCGGUGAAGUUAACAGCUUCACCGAUUGACGUUACCCGCAGAAGAAGCACCGGCUAACUCCGUGCCAGCAGCCGCCGUAA